rnacentral:tRNA from 1 species
AAGAAAAUAGUUAAAUUUUAUAAUAUUAAUAUGUCGUGUUAAAGUUUUUUUCUUU